AGAAACACGCCAAUGUUCUUGUCAUUUGCAUCUCAGACUGUUUUGAACCUGAAGGACUCUUUCAAGCCUCUAUUCUCUACAUCUUCUUGCAUUAGCUGGGAGGGUCCUGCAUCCAUGGCCCGAGAUGGGAACCCGCCCAGCUGCCCUCUAUGGGCUCACUGGUGCUGCCUGUGAUGUCUCUGGAAGUAGGCAGAAGCUCUGGAGGACUCGGCAGUCACCAUUUGAAGAAGCAGCCAGCUUCAAUCUCAGCUGAGCCCCUGUACUUAAGCAAUUCCCUCAGAUUUUAAUGCCCACAUACCUGGAGCCAGC